GGGGUAUUAGCUCAGUUGGUUUAGAGCGCUGCCUUGACAGGGCAGAGGUCACUGGUUCGAAUCCGGUAUGCCCCAC
rnacentral:tRNA from 1 species